AUGUCAUUGGUGUGUAUAUUGGGGUUGGGAACAUUAGAAGUCCUUUCUUUCAGAGUGAUUGGGAGAGGUAGGUAGGAAUUCGGUGUCUGGGAUUCUUGGUUGCGGGAAUCUAGGAGAAUUGGUGGAUCUUAUUCUUUUCUACCUGCUUACGUUUAUAACAUCCAUCCCUGUUAUGUAUGAAUCCACCACGCCAGUAAUUCAAUUAACCGACCUAAACUAAUAACUGACGUUUGGUUUUGGUGUUUUUAAAGACCAGAAAAACCAAACUGUAUUAUUUUUUUAAGUAAAGGAAGGUAAAAUAAUACUUUAAUUUUUAACCAUGUUAUUUUGUUUUUUUUAUAUAUACCAACUGAACUCAUCACUCCUCGUGAAACCCUAACACACUUCUAUUUGUGAUUUCCUUUAUCACAAUAUGGUUAUGGCUAUAUCUGCUACGGUAGUUGGUGGGUUUUUAGGCUGUUAUUAUGUGCUGGGAGUUAGCACAAGCCAUGGUUCGCUCCGUUACGGGUGCGCGAUUCACUAGAGGUGUAGGUUCAUUUCGGUACAAACCGGUACGGUGGACCAUGGAGUCCGGUUCGGUGUACACAAACUAAAACAAAAAUUACCAAAUUCCAAUAUUCAAAUUACCAAACAUAAACAUUGAAGGUUGAAGAUAAAAAUUGAAAAUGAAUAGGAGUUUAGUGAAACGUAUUUAUACAUGGAGAUGGCUUUAAUGUCUCCAUUGUGAAAUUAAAGUUGGAACUAGAAACACCAAGGAAAUUGAUGAGUCUGUGACUGUUUGCCAAAAGACACGUCUUAUUUUUCCCGGCUUCCCGCUCAAAUCGUAGAUGCGUACUGGAUGCGUUGUUUAAAUUGACCGAAACCCUAAUAAACCGUUCCAGGUUGCAUUUUACAAAUUAAUGGAAAGCGUUUUACAGUGGCGAUUGGUACGAUUUGAUUUCUAAAACGCAUCGACGUACCUGACGAUUGAAUUCACGAUUUAAGUGACGAUUCGAUUCGGUACAUCACGUACCAAUACACAAUUCACAGCUAUAUGAGCGAAUUCGGUAACAGCCUAACAGGUUUGAUGUGAACUAGCAACUCAAUUUUUAGGCACAAUUAAGCUUUAUAUAUGUUUUAAAAUUGAGAUUACAUACAAGUACAGCCUGAAAAGCAGUUGUACAGCAACCUGCUGCCCAAAUAAAUGGGAAAUACAGCCUUAGGGUCACUUUUUUGCCAAAAAAAACAUGUUGGUGCACUUCCUGUAAAACAUGUGCCUUAUGUAGGCUGAAGCGAUGAGGCCUACGCACGCCUUAGAGGGCCUUGCCCCUAGAGGCGUCUCACACGCGCUUUGUUAAACCCAGCUACAGUUUCAAAACCUUUUAUUCGUUUAAUUAUUAUUUGCAGGGUGCCAUCACCAUUUC
rnacentral:lncRNA from 1 species